UACGUAGGGCGCAAGCGUUAUCCGGAAUUAUUGGGCGUAAAGAGCUCGUAGGCGGUUUGUCGCGUCUGCUGUGAAAACUCGGGGCUUAACCCCGGGCCUGCAGUGGGUACGGGCAGACUAGAGUGUGGUAGGGGAGACUGGAAUUCCUGGUGUAGCGGUGAAAUGCGCAGAUAUCAGGAGGAACACCGAUGGCGAAGGCAGGUCUCUGGGCCACUACUGACGCUGAGAAGCGAAAGCGUGGGGAGCGAACAGG
rnacentral:rRNA from 1 species